AUUGAACGCUGGCGGCAUGCCUUACACAUGCAAGUCGAACGGCAGCACGGGAGCAAUCCUGGUGGCGAGUGGCGAACGGGUGAGUAAUAUAUCGGAACGUGCCCAGUCGUGGGGGAUAACGCAGCGAAAGCUGUGCUAAUACCGCAUAUGAUCUAUGGAUGAAAGCGGGGGACCGCAAGGCCUCGCGCGAUUGGAGCGGCCGAUAUCAGAUUAGGUAGUUGGUGGGGUAAAGGCCCACCAAGGCGACGAGCUGUAUCUGGGCGGAGAGGACGACCAGCCACACUGGAACGGAGACACGGUCCAGACUCCUACGGGAGGCAGCAGUGGAGAAUUUUGGACAAUGGGCGCAAGCCUGAUCCAGCAAUGCCGCGUGCAGGAUGAAGGCCUUCGGGUUGUAAACUGCUUUUGUACGGAACGAAACGGUGAGCUUUAAUACAGUUUGCUAAUGACGGUACCGUAAGAAUAAGCACCGGCUUACUACGUGCCAGCCGCCGCAGUAA
rnacentral:rRNA from 1 species